UACGGGGGGGCAAGCGUUGUUCGGAAUUACUGGGCGUAAAGGGCUCGUAGGCGGCCAACUAAGUCGGAUGUGAAAUCCCCAGGCUUAACCUGGGAACUGCAUUCGAGACUGCAUUGCUAGAGUAUGGGAGAGGGAAGUGGAAUUUCCGGGUGUAGCGGUGAAAUGCGUAGAUAUCGGGAAGGAACUCAGUGGCGAAAGCGACUUCCUGGAACCAAUACUGACGUCAUG
rnacentral:rRNA from 1 species